UUUGAUGUAGCUGCAAAUUUGUGUCCUUUCAAGCUCUUCCCGUUGCUACUCCUAGUCUACUAAUCUACUCUAUAUAACUCUUCUUUCCCAAGUUAGUACCUUUUUCUUCAAAGUUACCCAAAUACACACGCAAACCCUAUUAUAAAAGUUAGAACCAAAAUACUGAUUUUCUUUACAAUCGAGAAAUCCCCGAGGGGCAGUGGCCCAAUCUACCCUCCUCUACUUAAAUACCAGGCUUCGAACCUGUGACAUGUGCCUAACCCACACAUCAUAUGAUGCGCUCUUAUCACUAAACCAAAGCCCUGAGCCACCAAAGUACUGAUUACUUGUGUGAGUUUUCCCUCUUUGGGUGUGUUUGGUAUGAAGGAAAAUGUUGGAAAAAGAGUGGGUAUCACUUAUUUUCCCAGUGAAAAAAAAUUUUCGAAAAAUAUUUUCUAGAAAGCCCUGAGCCACCAAUAUACUGAUUUAUGCGAGUUUUCCCUCUCUGGUGUAUUUGGUAUGAAAGAAAAUGUUGGAAAAUGAGUAGUUAUCACUUAUUUUCCCUUGUUUGGUUGGUGAGUGAAAAAAAUUUCCGGAAUAUAUUUUCUAGUGUUUGGUUAGAGAGUAUAAAAUAUUUUUAGGAAAAUAAUUUUUUAUGCUACUCUCCUCAACCCACCUUCCCCCAAAAUCCCCAUGUUUCAUGUCCUCCUCCNN
rnacentral:lncRNA from 1 species